rnacentral:rRNA from 2 species
AACGCUGGCGGCGUGCCUAAUACAUGCAAGUCGAACGCACUCUCGUUAGAUUGAAGAAGCUUGCUUCUGAUUGAUAACAUUUGAGUGAGUGGCGGACGGGUGAGUAACACGUGGGUAACCUGCCCUAAAGUGGGGGAUAACAUUUGGAAACAGAUGCUAAUACCGCAUAAAACCUAGCACCGCAUGGUGCAAGGUUGAAAGAUGGUUUCGGCUAUCACUUUAGGAUGGACCCGCGGUGCAUUAGUUAGUUGGUGAGGUAAAGGCUCACCAAGACCGUGAUGCAUAGCCGACCUGAGAGGGUAAUCGGCCACACUGGGACUGAGACACGGCCCAGACUCCUACGGGAGGCAGCAGUAGGGAAUCUUCCACAAUGGACGAAAGUCUGAUGGAGCAACGCCGCGUGAGUGAAGAAGGUUUUCGGAUCGUAAAACUCUGUUGUUGGAGAAGAACGUAUUUGAUAGUAACUGAUCAGGUAGUGACGGUAUCCAACCAGAAAGCCACGGCUAACUA